rnacentral:rRNA from 1 species
CCUAGCCCUUCAGAGGGGGACAACAGUUGGAAACGACUGCUAAUACCGCAUACGAUCCAAUCUCGGCAUCGAGACUGGAUGAAAGGUGGCCUCUAUUUAUAAGCUAUCACUGAAGGAGGGGAUUGCGUCUGAUUAGCUAGUUGGAGGGGUAACGGCCCACCAAGGCGAUGAUCAGUAGCCGGUCUGAGAGGAUGAACGGCCACAUUGGGACUGAGACACGGCCCAG